rnacentral:rRNA from 1 species
GAUGAACGCUGGCGGCGUGCCUAAUACAUGCAAGUCGAGCGAACAGACGAGGAGCUUGCUCCUCUGACGUUAGCGGCGGACGGGUGAGUAACACGUGGAUAACCUACCUAUAAGACUGGGAUAACUUCGGGAAACCGGAGCUAAUACCGGAUAAUAUAUUGAACCGCAUGGUUCAAUAGUGGAAGACGGUUUUGCUGUCACUUAUAGAUGGAUCCGCGCCGCAUUAGCUAGUUGGUAAGGUAACGGCUUACCAAGGCAACGAUGCGUAGCCGACCUGAGAGGGUGAUCGGCCACACUGGAACUGAGACCCGGUCCAGCCUCCUACGGGAGGCAGCAGUAGGGAAUCUUCCGCAAUGGGCGAAAGCCUGACGGAGCAACGCCGCGUGAGUGAUGAAGGUCUUCGGAUCGUAAAACUCUGUUAUUAGGGAAGAACAAAUGUGUAAGUAACUAUGCACGUCUUGACGGUACCUAAUCAGAAAGCCACGGCUAACUACGUG